rnacentral:misc_RNA from 1 species
UAUAAAACCACUACAAAACCUGAUUAUUACCAUUACCAAGUGCCAAUCACACCUCUCUAACCCUUCUCCCUACAAAUUGAAGUAUUCAAAGGUAAUUUUUAACAUGAAGGGAGAAAUUAUCGCAUGGUUAUUCUUCAUCAUUUUUUUUAAGGCCCUUCCAUAUUGUGCAUGUGAAAUUUCUAUCACCCCACAGCAGCACCUACCCAUGACUAGGGCAAAACAGCUCAAGGGUAAGUUUUUAUCUAUCUUUUUCCUUUAUAAUAAAGAAAACGAGUUACUUACCAAUUAGUUUUAGGUCAGUGUUAUUAGACUCAUCUCUAGUACUAUAAGGUUUUGAGUUUGAGUUACAGUUGGAAAAAAAAAAAAAAGUUGAGUAGUAAAUGUGUGACAUUAUUUAUAACUAUUUGAUGACAUGUAUACUUGUGAGAUAAAAUUCAACAUAGUCUUGUGCUUGCAGAAGUAUAUGAAUCAAUUGCCAGAUUGAGAAGCAAAGACUAUCCAAGAACACUAGAGAGAAAGGGUUUGCAUGAAGUUGAUGCAAAGAGCUUCCAAAAGUUAGCAAAAGGAGUUUAUGGUGGUGCAGAUGUUCUUCGUCCUCGAUCUAAAUCCAAAAAUGGAGCUACUUCUUUGCACAUGAAAUCCUCUGCCCUCUUCUCAGCAACACUUGGGUUGAUAAUUUAUGUUGUCUUCUUUUGAUUGUUAAUUGGAAGGGGCGACUUCUUUGGGAUACGAUUAAGAAGCAACUUAAU